GCCAAAAAAACAGAUCUAUUCAGUACGAAGGUUAGGUUAGGAUAGGUCUUUGCAGAGGGUGAAGCCGCAGAGAAACCUUAUUCAGUACGAAGGAUAGGUUAGGUUAGGUAUUUGCAGAGGGUGAGGCCAAAAAAACAGAUCUUUCAGUACGAAGGUUAGGUUAGGUCUUUGCAGAGGGUGAGGCCAAAAAAACGUAGCUAUUCCGUACGAAGGCUAGGUUAGGCUAGGUCUUUGCAUAGGGUGAAGCCGUAGAAAGAGACGUUUUUCAGUACGAAGGUUAGGUUAGGUUAGGUAUUUGCAGAGAAUGAGCACAUGAAGAGAUCUAUUCAGUACGCUUAGGUUAGGUCUUCGUAGAGGAUGAAGCCUUAGCAAGAGACAUUUCUAGUACGUAGUUUAGGUUAGUUUAGCAAGUCUGAUCAGAGGGUGAGGCCUUAUCUAACGACCUAAACAGAAAGCAGGUGCGAUUUAAGAAGCCAAGUCACUGGACGGAGGUGCUGUUAAAGAGUACGAGCGAAACCGUUUUAAAGAACCUUAUCUACAAGGGCGAACUAUCUAAAGAGUGUGAAGCCAUGUUUGUAAGGUCCAUGCAGAUCGGGGUAACCAUUCGAAAACCUUAGCAUUGGGCGGAUUAUCGAGUAAGUGCAAUCAUUUAAAGAAGUUUGUAGUGAUAUUCUAAAAUCUAAAUUAGUCUACGGGUUAUAUUUUUUUUUCUAGAUGUAUUACUAUAACACUUUCUAUUUAAUUUUUAUGCGCAAGUGAAGUAACGUCCGCUGGCAACUUCCAUCCCGUUUUCUUUCAAGUGUAACUACCGUACGUUUUCUAUUUAACCGUUUUCAUUAAUUACUCAGCGCACACUUGGUUAAAUUCUCCCCUCUCUUGAACCUCUCCCUCCCUCUCUUGAACCUCUCCCUCCCUCCCUCUUUGCCUCUCCACACCCUUCCCGCCGAUUAAGAAUAGCGAGAGGAAAAAAAUUGUAUAUAUUAAAAAAAAAAAAAAUCUUCUCGGGGUUGUUAUAAGAAACCGAUGAACAAUAUCCUCGAAAAUUUAAGUCGCGGCCGAAAAAGUUUGUGGAAAUAAUUAAACUCGCGCCGUAAAAUACUUAAGAUUAUGAUGAUGAAGCGAGGAGGGCAGAGAGAGAGAGAGAGAGAGAGAGAGAGAGAGAGAGAGAGAGAGAAAAAGGGGGAUAUGACCCGAAAAAAAAAGGAAAAAAAAUGAAAUGACAGGAAAUGGGAGGGCGGGAAGGGAAAUGGGUGAGGUAGAGAGGGGAAAAGGGAGGACGAUGGGGGUAGGUAAUGGGUAAAAUGGGAGGGGGGAGGGGGGGGAGAUAGGAGUGGUUGGGGUGAUAGAAGGGAGAAGAGAAUGGGAGAGGGCUUGCCGGCGGAUGGAGGAAUGAAGAGAAACACCUACCGUUGGACAAGACAGAGUGGAGGAAACGGGAGAGAUGGGUCGUGAGGAAAGGGAGGGAAGGUCAUGGGAGGAGAAAUACUCCUCCAUAAAGCCCCGAACUACACGCCUCCUCCUUCUCCUCCUCCUCCUACUCCUCCUCCUACUCCUCCUCCUUCUACUUCUACUUCUCUUCCCCUCCGGCAUCCAAGUCUUAUCUGAGAUUACUACUCUUACUACUUCUACUUCUACCGUUACUACUCUCUCUCUCUCUCUCUCUCUCUCUCUCUCUCUCUCUCUCUCUCUCGUGUGCAAAUAGCCUCAUUUCUAUGUAUCCUGCGUCCUUGUAAGUGAUAAUCAACGUUUCCUUAAUCAACGCGUGAGCCGCCGCCGCUUCUCUACAAACCCCCUCGAAAAUUAUCCCAACUCGGAACACCAGCAUGUAAAUAACAAACUUUGGCACAGUUCCCCCUUCGCAACCCUUUUUCCCCCUUUCUCCCUCUGGUUCUAGUCCCCUCAUCUGGCUCUCUCUUCCCCCCUCUCCUCCCCUUUCUCCCUUCCCGUCUCCCCGUGUCUCUAGUUCCCCUCAACUGGUUCUCUUCUGAUCGAAAAUCCCUUUUGGAAAUCACACGUGCUGCCCCUCAUCAGUUGCGGCCCUCAUUUGCAUUCUCAUUUGCAUGUUAAUAAACCUUUGCCGCGGUAGUAGCCCCUGGAAGGCACGCCAUCUACCUGCAGCUAACCUAAUUAUCCUGGCGUUCCUCUUCUACCUCGCUAACUCACCGCUCCGACCUCCGACCUAAGCCCCGACCCGCCGCUGUUACUACAAUCAGACUAUCGCUAUGAGGAACGCCGGCCACUUAUACGAAGAUGAAAGAAACUAAUUACAAUCAUUCCACGUCGGUGAGUGACCUAAAUAAAUUGUCUUCGCUGGUGUUUUUUUUUUUUUCCAAUUUCUACCGACUUGAUUAAUCUUCCAUUAGAGCAACGAAGUCAACGGUGCGUGUUUGUUUUUCGUCUCCUUUCUCCUUCCGUCCCCAAUCACUUGCUCUAAGCCUAUACGGAAGGGAUUUGUUUACUCCCAGCGGUUAUUUAUUGAGGCGUCUAAUGCUCCGCUAAUACUCGAAGUUUGUGUGUUGAUCAGGAUUCCCACUUGUACCUCUCGGGGUCUGUCUCACUCGUUUUCAUUACCUCAGGAGUGCUAUCCAGAAAUGAUCGCCCCUUUUAUUGGUGGGAUAGUUCUUUUUCUGACCUGCGGGGAGCCACAUUUAAUUAAACCUCCUUGGAAUGGGUACAGGUGCUCGAGGCUCUGAUCCGGUCCGUCCGCCUCCCUCCCGUCCCCUUACUCGAAUUGGGCCAUUCACCUAAGUCCCUUCCUCAGGCUCCUCCCCGCCCUAUAGCGUUGUCUGUCCUGUCUUUGUUAGUGGCUGCGAUGUCUGUUUCCUUGUUUUCUAAGUUCGGAAUUGACAGUUUACGUUAGUCUGUUGGGGGCUAUGAUGUCUGAGUGAGGUCCCCAUUCGUUGCGUUCUAAGUUCAGAAUUCACAGUCUACGUUAGUGGCAAUAAAGUGAAUGGCCUGCUACUCGUGGUCCCUGGCGCUCAUAAACGUGAGUGUAAUAAUAACUAGACGCCGCACGAUGCAAUACAAAACGAGCCAUUCUUGGGCUGGUACCCCUCCGCGUCCCCCUCCCUCUUCCACAUACCAACAGCUGACCAAAAUAGAGGUAAUUACACUUUUUUAUGACCGGGAGGAAUUGCAAAUUUUAUAACGCCAUUGUCUUCCAGGCCGUGCGCUUCUUCUCACUUCCCCUUUACGACGUGUAAUCUGGGUGUGUCGACGGGGAACCGCGUUAUGAAAGACACGCAUCGAUUUAUGAGCGAAUCCGCAGAGUUAUCCCUGGGAACGGCCGAUCUGCUGCUCCGUUUUCUAUCGAUCCGCUUCUCUCCCUCUCCCUCUCGCGCGUGGUGGUGGUGGUUAUGUUAGUUUUCUCGGUUGGGAUGCUAAGCUAACGAUGAUUUCCGUAUGCAGAUCUAGCCUUCUCCUCCACUUCUUACUCUUUCUCUUAUCCCUCCUCCUCCCCCUCCAUAUUGUAUCAUCCCGCGAGACUGCGCCAUAACCCAAGCAGUACCUAUCCUAAAGGGAAAUGGUGGAAUACAUACAGCCGUCGAAACACCUGCGCUUCCCUGUAAUUGCAAACAUAAAGCUUCCUCGGGGGAAUGUGUGCUUAACGCCCCGCCAACGCCGCCCUUACAAGCCCUCCCUUUCUCUCCCUCCCUCCCUCCUAAGCUGCAGGGGUAGGUGUAUUUUUUCCACUCCUACGUGCAACGGUAACCAACCACGGGUAUUUUGGGGGUGGGUGGGUGUGUAUGUGUGUUGCAGGAUCUUGUGUACUUGCGCUCUCUCUCUCUCUCUGGGAUUAUUUAGAAUUACAUUGAAAGUGACGUUAAGGUUGAUCUGGUUUAUUAAAGACAAGUUGUUCUGUGCAUCCUCAGUACUACUUUAUUAA